GGUUUCUGUCUUCCUAUGCGGUUGCGGUUGGUUUGUAGCUGGUAGAUCCGAGGGGAAGACUCAGUGGUGGCAUAUCGUAAACAAGAAUUUUAAAACAAAAGCAGAGAGAAAAAAAUUCAAGGCCAGAAUAUGGAGUGUUAAGUCGGUUUAUCCUAACUCUACAACGAUUCUUCAAAAACGUAACACCUUCCAGAAUAUCUGUUGUUAAGUGGGGAAGGCGGAAGAAGUCCUCGAUAGCCUACGUUUUGUGAAUUCUUGCAGGCAAUGGCGUGUUUUGGCAACAAUGAGAAAAGGACUGAAUGGACUCCACUGGAGGAGAGAAGUGUCACAGACAUACCUUGGCUCAUCUUUUUCAUUUUGUUUUGCAUUGGCAUGGUUAUAAUAACUGGAUUAUCAAUUGCCAUGGGUGGUACAUCCAGACUGGUAAAGGGAUAUGACAGCUAUGGGAACAUAUGUGGGCAAAACAACAGCAAGACUUUAGACAUUCCUCAAAAUGGAGGGGAUUUCACACAGAGAAAGUUUGUGUUCUUCCUGGAGCCCUGUAAGAUUGACCUUGUUAAUAGGAAGAUGAAGUCAAUAGCUCUGUGUGUGUCAAAAUGCCCAGAAGAGGAACUAAAAACCCUUGAGGAUGUCAGAAAGUUUGCAAUUAUGAAUGGGUCAAAACUUUGUAGAUAUGACAUAGAGCAUUCCUCUUACCCCAGCCAUCCUGACAAAGCAGCCGGCUGUCCACAACUGCCUGUUAAGCCCAGCAAGGCUCGGCUCAACCGCUGUGUCCCAGUUGAUGUCAGCUGCUACGCCCAGUUUGCUCAGGCCCUAGUCAACUCCGUCAGUGAGAACGUGUUCCAGAGGAUUGCCGCCGGCGUCAUGGCCUCAAAGGAGAUCAUCUUUGGACUCUGCAUGCUCUCAAUAGUUCUCUCAGGGAUUCUUAUGGUGGUGAUCAGAUACAUCUCUGCCGUACUGGUGAUGAUUCUCACAGUACUCGUAGUCUUGGGCUCCAUCGCUGGCACUGGUGUUUUAUGGUGGUUGUAUGUAGACCUUAAGAAGUCUACUAAUUCCACCUCACCUGUUGAACAAGCGAUAGCUCAAGGCAACACCCAGGGUCUCCUUGCCUAUGCAAUCACAGCCACAGUGUUUACGGUGGUGCUCCUGCUGUUGAUUGUCUUCCUGAGGAAGCGAGUGGCUCUUACCAUUGCCUUGUUCCAUGUGGCAGGGAAUGUCUUCACUCAUAUACCUUUGCUAGCCUUGCAGCCAGUGUGGACGUGUAUGUCCCUUUUGCUUUUUUGGGUGUGUUGGCUUGGGGUGCUCCUGUCUCUAGGAACUUCAGGAAGCCCUGUGUUGAAUACAGACACACAAACGGUGGAGUUCAAGCUGGCUGAGCCGCUGCAGUACAUGGUGUGGUACCAUGCCGUGGGCCUCAUCUGGGUCAGUGAGUUCAUCCUGGCCUGCCAGCAAAUGACUGUGGCUGGCGCUGUGGUCACCUACUACUUCACCAGGAACAAGUCUCAGCUGCCUGUGAUGCCAAUCCUGACCUCAGUCCUAAGGUUGGCACGCUACCACUUGGGCACUGUGGCCAAAGGGGCCUUCAUCAUCACUUUGGUGGAGAUUCCACGCCUCAUCCUCACCUACAUCCACACCCAGCUUAAAGGGAAAGAAAAUGCUUGUGCUCGCUGUAUGCUCAAAGCAUGCAUAUGCUGUCUGUGGUGUCUUAAGAAGUGCCUUCAGUACUUGAACCAAAACGCAUAUACAGCCACUGCCAUCAACAGUACAAGUUUCUGCACAUCUGCCCAAGAUGCAUUUAUUAUCAUGGUGGAGAAUGUUGUUCGUGUGGCUGUCAUUAAUACCGUGGGGACCUUCAUCCUCUUCCUUGGAAAGGUGCUGGUUGUGUCAUGCACAGCUUUUGUGGGUGUCCUUACUCUGAGGUACCAGCAAGAAUACACAGUGUGGGUAGUACCCGUGAUUAUUGCCUGUCUAUUUGCCUACUUGGUUGCCCACUGCUUCCUGUCAGUCUAUGACAUGGUGGUGGAUGUGCUCUUCCUCUGCUUUGCCAUCGACUCCAAGUACAAUGAUGGGAGUCGUGGCAAAGAGUACUAUAUGGAGAAGGCUCUCAUGGAGUUUGUAGAGAACAGCCGUAAGGCAAUGGAGCGGGAUGCCUCAGGUGGCAGCAAAGAACUGACACCAAUGGCACGUAGAGGUAGGUAGGUUUGGCUGGACCUGAUGAAACAAAUGACACCGCAACACACCUCAAUCCUUGAUGCCAUUUUCUAAUGCCAAAUGCACCCUUUAAUAUCCUGAAACUGUCAGUGUGUUGCAUUCCAGGUGAAAUGGUUUAUGACAUGUUCUAAUGCCAAAUGCAGCCUUUAAUGUCCUGAAACAGUCAUAGUGUGUUGCACUCGAAGCAAAAUGUUUUACUUGACUGCCUUAACUUUUUAUAUCAGAAAAGUGUUUAUAGAUAUGUUAAAUUGUUCUACUUACUGGAGUGUUUGUUCAAAGUUAUUAAAAGCUAUUGAUUAUA